GAGUUUGAUCCUGGCUCAGAUUGAACGCUGGCGGCAGGCCUAACACAUGCAAGUCGGGCGGUAGAGAGAAGCUUGCUUCUCUUGAGAGCGGCGGACGGGUGAGUAAUGCCUAGGAAUCUGCCUGGGUAGUGGGGGGUAACGCUCGGAAACGGACGCUAAUACCGCAUACGUCCUACGGGAGAAAGCAGGGGACCUUCGGGCCUUGCGCUAUCAGAUGAGCCUAGGUCGGAUUAGCUAGUUGGUGAGGUAAUGGCUCACCAAGGCGACGAUCCGUAACUGGUCUGAGAGGAUGAUCAGUCACACUGGAACUGAGACACGGUCCAGACUCCUACGGAGGCAGCAGUGGGGAAUAUUGGACAAUGGGCGAAAGCCUGAUCCAGCCAUGCCGCGUGUGUGAAGAAGGUCUUCGGA
rnacentral:rRNA from 1 species